AUUAGUUGCAUCUAUGCAGAAAAUUAGAAAAACAUUGUGACGAAAGUAAAUGUGAUCUUAAAACGAAAAAAUAUCCUAAGUUAGGAGAAGACAUACUUACAUAUUUAUUAUCAUAAAGAUAGCUAAAAGCCUUUCCAUUUUCUGUUCAUCUAAAUCUCUACAAAAGAAAUACCAAUUUUGCUGAGUUCCAUUAAAUUCCUGCAUUGGAGCCAUUCAGUUUUUGCAAGUUCGACAACAUGUCGCAAAGUAAAGACGUUUAAAAUCAAAUUCAUUAAAUGAAAAUCAAUUAAAAAGCAUUUCGUGUUCAUCCAUCGAUCAACGCGUGUAACUUGGUGGCUUCCUUUGCAUAGAUAAACGAGUGUGAAAGGCUUGCCUUUUCACUAAAAGGCUUCAUCAUUUACUCGUUCGUGGCAGAAAACGUUGUAUGUGGAAUGGAUAUUGGUGGUAAGUGUGCAUUUCCCCAAAAUGGUCAUGUCACAUCCAAUCCUUAUCCUAUAUGU